rnacentral:rRNA from 1 species
AAUACGGGGGGGGCAAGCGUUGUUCGGAAUUACUGGGCGUAAAGGGUCUGUAGGUGGCUUGUUAAGUCAGACGUGAAAUCCCUCAGCUUAACUGGGGAACUGCGUCUGAUACUGGCGAGCUUGAGUGCAGGAGAGGAACGCGGAAUUCCAGGUGUAGCGGUGAAAUGCGUAGAUAUCUGGAGGAACACCGGUGGCGAAGGCGGCGUUCUGGACUGUAACUGACACUGAGAGACGAAAGCCAGGGUAGCAAACGG